UUGUUGGUAAGGUAAAAGCUUACCAAGGCUUCGAUCAGUAGCUGGUCUGAGAGGACGACCAGCCACACUGGGACUGAGACACGGCCCAGACUCCUACGGGAGGCAGCAGUGGGGAAUUUUGGACAAUGGGGGCAACCCUGAUCCAGCCAUGCCGCGUGAGUGAAGAAGGCCUUCGGGUUGUAAAGCUCUUUCAGCCGGAACGAAACGGUUACGGAUAAUACCCGUGACUACUGACGGUACCGGAAGAAGAAGCACCGGCUAACUACGUGCCAGCAGCCGCGGUAAUACGUAGGGUGCAAGCGUUAAUCGGAAUUACUGGGCGUAAAGCGUGCGCAGGUGGUUUUGUAAGUCAGAUGUGAAAGCCCCGGGCUCAACCUGGGAACUGCGUUUGAAACUACAAGACUAGAGCGUGGCAGAGGGGGGUGGAAUUCCGCGUGUAGCAGUGAAAUGCGUAGAGAUGUGGAGGAACACCGAUGGCGAAGGCAGCCCCCUGGGUUAACACUGACACUCAGGCACGAAAGCAUGGGGAGCAAACAGGAUUAGAUACCCUGGUAGUCCAUGCCCUAAACGAUGUCAACUAGUUGUCGGGCCUUUACGGGCUUGGUAACGUAGCUAACGCGUGAAGUUGACCGCCUGGGGAGUACGAUCGCAAGAUUAAAACUCAAAUGAAUUGACGGGGACCCGCACAAGCGGUGGAUUAUGUGGAUUAAUUCGAUGCAACGCGAAAAACCUUACCUACCCUUGACAUGUAUCGAAGCCCGCAGAAAAGCGGGGGUGCCCGAAAGGGAACGAUAACACAGGUGCUGCAUGGCUGUCGUCAGCUCGUGUCGUGAGAUGUUGGGUUAAGUCCCGCAACGAGCGCAACCCUUGUCAUUAAUUGCCAUCAUUUAGUUGGGCACUUUAAUGAGACUGCCGG
rnacentral:rRNA from 1 species